rnacentral:snRNA from 1 species
GUGCUUGCUAUGGUGGCACAUGUACUAAAAUUGGAAUGAUAUAGAGAAAAAUAUGGUCCUUAUGGAAAGAUGAAAUGCAGAUUCAGGAUGUGUUCCAUAUUAAA